GGAACCCAAGCCCGGCCAUGUCUGUACAUAAUAACGAAAGAAACCGGUUAUGCUGCGAGGGCGUUUACCUCGAUAGAUGUUGAAAAUGCCCACAGCAUUAUAAAUCAUUUGGACCGCCGAGGGGUCCAAAACUCCUCAAUCGAAGAGCUUAGUAGACAUGCCAGCAACCUACAGAGACUUCAAAUUCUCAGGAAACCUCUCUAGGACGGAAGCUUUAUACUCCGACAUCCACAAUUUACUACGCCCCUGAGAUCGACAAAGGUCUUUCUGAUAGAUUGACUUCCAG